GAGGAGUUAGUUAAAAUAACAUUAGCCUGUCAGCCUAAAAUUACUACAAAAGUAGUACUACUCA
rnacentral:tRNA from 1 species